rnacentral:rRNA from 1 species
AUUGAACGCUGGCGGCAGGCCUAACACAUGCAAGUCGAGCGGAGCGGCGGACGGGUGAGUAAUGCCUAGGAAUCUGCCUGGUCGUGGGGGAUAACGUCCGGAAACGGGCGCUAAUACCGCAUACUAUCAGAUGAGCCUCGGUCGGUUUAGCUAGUUUGUGGGGUAAAGGCCUACCAAGGCGACGAUCCGUAACUGGUCGGAGGGGAGGAGCAGUCACCGUGGAACUGAGACACGGACCAGAGUCCUGCGGGAGGCAGCAGUGGGGAAUAUUGCACAAUGGGGGCAAGCCUUGUGCAACCAUGCCGCGUGUAUUGAGGAGGCCUUCGGGUUGGAAAGUACUUUCAGUCGGGAGGCGUUACCGACAGAAGAAGCACCGGCUAACGACGUGCCAGCAGCCGCGGUAAUAC